rnacentral:lncRNA from 1 species
CCUGCCUUUGCCUCUCCUUUGUCUUCUGCCGUGAGUGUGAGGCCUCCCCAGCCAUGUGGAACUCAAAGGCUUGACUGAAGUCACGGGUCUCAUCAUUCCUUUCCUAAGCUUUCUUCAAACAGCAUGGUACGUGGAUGAGGACACACGUGCUCUGUAGAAGGUGGGGCCACAAAGCCCUGCCAACCGACGUUUCCUGCCUUCUGCCUCUAAGGUGCAACCCUGAAAGCACCUCUGGAAUCUUUGGGGCUCAGGGAGCACAGCCUGGAAGCAGGGGGAUACUCCCCAGGGCUGCAGUCCACCUCGGAAGCUGCUCACCACAGGUGUCUGCUUACACUUCGAUUCAGAUCACAUAAGAUAAACAAGCAGCUCUUCGGCUUCUGAGCCACCCUUCAAGAGCACAGCCACUCGUGGCUAAUGGCUGCUGACUGGAACCCUGGAUGGCCCAAUCUGGAACUUUUCAUCACCCCAGAGCAUCCUGUGCAGUGCUUCUCCCGAGGAGCCCUGCAGGCAGUGACCUCCAGCUCCGAGCCUGAUCCCACAUGAGCGGGAAGAAGACAGCCCAGGGAGGCUGACCACAGCCACAAGCUCAUUUCUCAUGGGAAACCACAAAUGGGAGAUGCCAAGAAAUUAGAAUAGAGGAUGCUCCAGAGCAGACGCUCCUGUUUACAGAGCUGAAACUCAGUACUCAUUAAACAACUCCCUCCUGCAGCCACGCUGGGAGCUGACACUCUCCACACAUGCUUCAUGCACCCAGGCGCUCAUCCAGGGAUCAUCCUGUACCUCAAAUACCCCCAAGAACUGUCCUGCCCCAGGACCUUUGCACAUGCUGGACCCACUACCUGUGAUGCCGUCUUCUGGCUCACCACGUGGCUGGCUCCGUCUCAUUCAUUGGUCUCAGCC